ACAUACCGGUUCCAGUACGAUUACCGAAGUUAAGCAACGUCGAGCCUGAUCAGUACUUAGAUGGGUGACAGUUUGGAAAUACCAGAUGCUGUAAG
rnacentral:rRNA from 1 species